rnacentral:rRNA from 1 species
CUACGGGGUGCUGCAGUGGGGAAUAUUGGACAAUGGGGGAAACCCUGAUCCAGCAAUGCCGCGUGUGUGAAGAAGGCCUGCGGGUUGUAAAGCACUUUCGGUUGGGAGGACUGCUUCUAGCACUAAUAUUGUUGGAAGUUGACGUUACCUUCAGAAGAAGAACCGGCUAACUCCGUGCCAGCAGCCGCGGUAAUACGGAGGGUGCAAGCGUUAAUCGGAAUUACUGGGCGUAAAGCGCGCGUAGGCGGCUAGAUCAGUCGGGUGUGAAAGCCCCGGGCUUAACCUGGGAACUGCAUCCGAUACUGUCUAGCUUGAGUACAGGAGAGGAGAGUGGAAUUCCACAUGUAGCGGUGAAAUGCGUGGAUAUGUGGAGGAACACCAAUGGCGAAGGCAGCUCUCUGGCCUGAUACUGACGCUUAGGUGCGAAAGCGUGGGGAGCAAACAGGAUUAGAUACCCGAGUAGUC